rnacentral:miRNA from 1 species
CCGAGACAGGCUGGGGUUUGUA